rnacentral:rRNA from 1 species
UUUGAUUCCUACGGCUCAGGUUGAACGCUGGCAGAUGCUUUACAUGCAAGUCGAACGGCAGCACGGACGGUCUGGUGGCGAGUGGCGAACGGGUGAUAAUGUAUCGGAACGUGCCUAGUAGCGGGGGAUAACUUCGCGAAAGAAAGCCGUAGCCCCUAGCAUACGCCCUUCGAAGCCGGACCUUCGGGCUCACUAUUAAGAGCAGCCGAUAUCGGAUUGGCUAGUUGGUGGGGUAACAGCUCACCAAGGCGACGAUCCGUAAGCUGGUUUGAGGCGACCAGCCACACUGCAGGACUGAGACACGGCCCAGACUCCUGCAGGAGGCAGCAGUGGGGAAUUUUUGGACAAUGGGAAACCCUGAUCAGCCAUCCCGCGUGUGCGUGAAGGCCUUCGGGUUGUAAAGCACUUUUGGCGGGAAAGAAAUGGCGGGAUAAUGCCCGCGCAACUGACAAUACCUACAGAAUGACACCGGCUAACCACGUGCCAGCAGCCGCGGUAAUACGUGAGGUGCAAGCGUUAAUGGAAUUAUGGGCGUAAAGCGUGCGCAGACGGUUCCGGAAAAGAAAAGAUGUGAAAUCCCAGAGCUUAACGGUUUCCAUUUUUUAACUACCGAGCUAGAGUGUGUCAGAGAGUGGAAUUCCGCAUUAACAGUGAAAUGCGUAGAUAUGCGGAGGAACACCGAUGGCAGGCAGCCUCCUGGGAUAACGCAGCAGCUCAUGCACGAAAAGCGUGAGGCAAACGGGAUUGGAUACCUGGUAGUCACGCCCUAAACGUCAGCUAGCUGUUGGGGCCUUCGGGCCUUGGUAGCGCAGCUAACGCGUGAAGUUGACCGCCUGGGAAGUACGGUCGCAAGAUUAAAACUCAAAGGAACCAGCGGGGGACCCGCACAAGCGUUGAUGAUAUGGAUUAAUUCGUGCAGCGAAAAACCUACCCUUGACAUGUCUGGAAUCCCGAAGAGAUUUGGGAGUGCUCGCAAGAGAACCGGAACACAGGUGCUGCAUGGCUGUCGUCAGCUCGUGUCGUGAGAUGUUAGGUUAAGUCCCGCAACGAGCGCAGCCCUUGUCAUUAGUUGCUACGAAAGGGCACUCUAAUGAGACUGCCAGGGUGACAAACCGGAGGAAGGUGGGGGAUGACGUCAGUCCUCAUGGCCCUUAUGGGUAGGGCUUCACACGUCAUACAAUGGUCGAAACAGAGGGUCGCCAACCGCGAGAGCCAAUCCCAAGAGCCGAUGCCGUAGUCCGGAUCGCAGUCUGCAACUCUGACUGCGUGAAGUCAGAUCAUAUUAAUCGCGGAUCAACCAUCGCGGUGAUAGUUCUGGUCUUACCGCCCAUUAUGUGGGGUGGGUUUUACCAGAAGUAGUUAGCCUAACCGUAAGGAGGCGAUUACCACGGUAGGAUUCAUGACUGGUGGGGUGUAACAAGGUAGCUCUGUUGUUACUGCGUUAUACCAG